UGAAGCCCCUAUCUGCUUCCUCCGAACCUUUAUCGGUUCCUGCAUUUCAUCCAAGGGGCUAUUCUGCAGGACCUGCCACUGUAGUCCUUGAAAUAUUAAGAUGAACAGAGCAGGCGAAAGGCCUUUCAGCUGUGGUGCUGUAUCCUGGGUAAUUCCAUUUUGCAUACCAAAAAAGAAGAAAAAGAGAGAGAGAGAGAGAGAGAGAGAGAGAACGAAGAAAGAAUAAUCUUGUGAGAGUGAAAAAUCUACAGAAAAAGACCCA
rnacentral:lncRNA from 1 species